rnacentral:rRNA from 1 species
AUGAACGCUGGCGGCGUGCCUAAUACAUGCAAGUCGAGCGAACAGACGAGGAGCUUGCUCCUCUGACGUUAGCGGCGGACGGGUGAGUAACACGUGGAUAACCUACCUAUAAGCCUGGGAUAACUUCGGGAAACCGGAGCUAAUACCGGAUAAUAUAUUGAACCGCAUGGGUCAAUAGUGAAAGACGGUUUUGCUGUCACUUAUAGAUGGAUCCGCGCCACAUUAGCUAGUUGGUAAGGUAACGGCUUACCAAGGCGACGAUGCGUAGCCGACCUGAGAGGGUGAUCGGCCACACUGGAACUGAGACACGGUCCAGACUCCUACGGGAGGCAGCAGUAGGGAAUCUUCCGCAAUGGGCGAAAGCCUGACGGAGCAACGCCGCGUGAGUGAUGAAGGUCUUCGGAUCGUAAAACUCUGUUAUUAGGGAAGAACAAAUGUGUAAGUAACUAUGCACGUCUUGACGGUACCUAAUCAGAAAGCCACGGCUAACUACGUG